UUACGUGACCUUAAUUUAUGCAGUGUGUCUCGAACGUUUUGCUAUGGAAAAAAAUUAUUUUGACAGUAAUGGUAUUUACUGUUUAAUCAGAACGUACAAGUGCAUUUGAUAGAUAUGAACUGCUUCUGUAGAUAAAGUGAAAAUCAUGACAUACGAAGAGCAGAACGGUUCUUUAAGAUUAUUACUCAGCAAGUAUUCACUGGACGAAAUCCUGAAGUUGUGCACCGUUUGCACAGCAAACCGAUCACUGGACAUUAUGGAUACGGUUCUUUUGGAAGAACUUGCACACCGUGUACAGCUGGCACCUGAUCGGCUUAGAGAUAUGUAUAUCCACGUGAUGAACGAAGCGCCGUCUCUCCUUGAUUUGAUUUCGCCAUCGGAUCCAAGGAGUAUCGUUGUAAUUACUCCUCCAGUGAAAACGUGCACGGAAGGCUGCGUGUACCAGAGGGGCUCUAAAACAGGUCUACCUUUGGAACUCGGUCUUCAUAAUAAGCCAGCUUGGGGCACACUGCACGACAUUAACGGAAUGAGCCGAUCUUUCGUUCGCCUAUCGUAUAGAUGUCCAACCUGCCGUAGUAUAUACAAGUACG